CCUACGGGUGGCAGCAGUAGGGAAUAUUGCUCAAUGGGCGAAACCCUGAACCAGCAACGCCGCGUGGAGGAUGAAUGUUUUCGGAUUUUAAACCCCUUUUUUUAGAGAAGUAAAUGACGGCAUCUAACGAUUAAUCACCGUCUACCUCCGUGACACCAGCCGCGGUAAUAUGGCGGGGGCCACCGUGAUUCGGAAUCACUGGGCGUAAAGGGGGGGUAGGCGGGUUAGCAAGUCAGGUGCGAAAGCCGAGGGCUUAAACGUAGCAGUGCAUUUGAAACUGUUAUUCUAGAGUAUGGGAGAGGUAGGUGGAAUGCGUGGUGUAGGGGUGAAAUGCGUAGAGAUCAAGAAGAAUACUGAUUGCGAAGGCGGCCUGCUAGAACAUAACUGACGCUGAUGCGCGAAAGCGUGGGGAGCAAACAGGAUUAGAUACCCCAGUAGUC
rnacentral:rRNA from 1 species